AAACAUGUUAUACAAAGAGGCCUUGGAAACUAAUAAGAUAUGGACAAGGUGUAGUGUUUCAGGCAGUAUAUAGUGCAGGUAGCGUUCAGUGUUUUAAACACAUGACCACGAUGGCAUAUAUGUCUCUAGACAUGUAAUAAGGGGUGCAUUCGCAUGUGGUGUGCAUGUGUGUAGUGGUGUGCCUGCUUAUGCAUCUUCCUUUUAAUCAUAAAAAAAAGAGAGAAGUGGCAUAUAUAAAUUGGAAACAGUUGAAAUAUAAGCAAUUGAACCAUGGUAUGGAAGAACAAAUUUUCAAAACUUAGCAACCCAGGCAAACAGAUUCAAUAAAAAAUGUAAAUCCUUGAUGUUUAUCUCUGGAUAACUACAUUUAUAGAUGAUCAAAGCAGUCCAGCCUUCAACAAAUCUAAAUACUUACAAAAAACAAUGCGAUUUCGUGGAAAAAAACCAAAAAUUACUCUAUCUCUGCUACUUAAAAAAUGUUCCAGCAACCAAAGCAGGGCGUCCUGCCAUUCCACGUUGUUCAACCCCACUCCCCCCUCCAUUGCUCGCUGCUAGUUGUCCCUCUGCUCCAGUCUCCGCGCGUCUCGCCCUACCCCAAUCCCGCUCCUCGGCACAAUCCGCGCGCCACCGCAGCCUGCAUCCGCCCCUCCCCCUCUCCCCUCUCUCUCCAUUGCAAUCCCUCUCGCAACAUCCCCAAGCCCGCAACCCCCGCCGUCACUCCCUCGAACUCGACUGCAGCGAUGCCGUCCUCCCCGAUCUGUGCUUGUCCAUCUCGUCUCCCACCUCAGCCACGUGCUUCUCUAUCAUCAUAGAUGGCGGCAACGGUGGGCACCAGGGCCCACGUCUUCGCUGCAGGGCCCAACGUCCGUCGGGAUCUGGUGUGCUCCUCUAUGACGCUCGUCUCCCCGAGCAUCGACGUGGACUUCAAGUGGAGUGACCACAUCGCCGCCGGAUAAAUCAAGAACCAGGAUUGCUGCCGGUUGUUCAGUGCAUUAGGGGCGCACUACCUGGCUACGCGGCAAGGUGGAUCCGGCGAGGCGUACAGCUAUGCGUUGCGGCGCCGCCGCUCGCCUUUUUUGAUCGGUUUUUUUAAUACAAUUCCCAUAUACUAUCUCAUUACCAGCCCAUAAACGCCUAAAUAAUGGAACUUGGGAUAAGAUAAAGUAUUACAAACAAUGGUGGCCUUGUAGUCGACCAGAUACUCAUGUUGACAAGCUUAUGAAGUACGGUUGCAGGCUAAACUUUGUGCAAAUGUGGUGUCUCAUCUGCUCAACUGUUUUUGGGAGAAGAAAGAGUGUCACAUAGAAAAUCCAUCCGAAUUGGGAAUUUCAGUGCUAAAACUUUCUUCUCGUAGUGCAACCUUCAGUACCUUCAGGUCGCUUGCUGUGAUGUGGCCGCGUUUUUGCACUCCAUCAGGGUGUGCUAUGCUAUCCAAUAUGCCGGUGUGCUUCUUGUGUUCCUUGAAGUGGUGCACGAUGUAGUGCCAGCAGAUGUGUCAUUGCUCAUCGAGGUUGUGUUGGGGCUUGAGCUGCACGUGGUGCUACAGAAGCUACGGUUCUUGCUUGUUGAUUGUUGCGAGGCUAAUUAAGCGGAUGGCGACACAUGGUAGAUCGUAAAUUAUUCGAUCCUUGUUGCAACGCACAAGCAUGUAACUAGUUAAGCUAUGUGGUUAUCGGUUACAGAAAGUGAAAUUCAGAAUGAAAUUUUAGUAUGAACAUCAGAACUAAUUAACAUAUUUAGUAAUGUUAGCAAGAGCAUAACCACAUCCGCACAAGAAAAAUAGAAGGUCAUAAAAUAUGCACACUAGAGCUAUAGUAUCCUGCAUAUAGUUGCAUUCACCCACAAAUCACCAUCAAUAAGUCACAAAUAUUACGUAGCAAUCUAGUAUUCCCUUCCACUAUUUCAUCACUCAUAUUUGCAUGUCUCUAUAAUUUUACACAGCUUAGAGCUUCAAAAACUCAUCAAAGUUUUACAAUGCUCUGCUCCUUUCUAAAAUGUGGCACUAACCAGGAAAGAUUCUACUCAUAGUGCUUUAAAAGUUAAAAAAUUAACUAUUCAAAUCAAAGUGACCAUGCAUUGCAACGGUUCCUAAAUAUGUCAAUUGAUAUCUAUCCUCCCGCUCCAACCCCACUUCUAAUUGGAAGUGAAAAGGCAGGAACAUAGAAAUUCAGUUUGUGUGAUUGCGAGGUGCACAAUACAUAUUGGUGUGCCUAAACAUUAAGCUCAGAAACAUACAGUGGCGGCAUUGCCAGUUCUAUGAAACUAUGCUUGCUGAGAAAAUCAUUUAAAUUGUGCAUCGCAAUUUGCAAAAAAUCGGUAGUCUAUGUUCAAGAGUAUUAACUAUUCUCUUACAUCCAGUGACAACAUGAUCUUAGCAGUGCCAGUGACAUGUCUCGAGCAUUCCCAAUUACAUAAAAUGAAUCUAAUCAAACAAACAUUAAAUACUUGGAAGAAUUCAGGAAAAACAAGGAUGCUUAACAUAUGCAUGUUGAACCUCAACCUAGAUGGAGUUUCUUCAGAAUUAAGAUAUCAUAUAAAUGUUUAACCUCCACAUGGAUUCAAUUUCUUCUUGGUUCAACAUCAAAUACCAAUACCAUUGUUUCCCUGUAUGGAGACCUAUUUUGCCUGCAAUAGUUAAGGGUUUGAGAACAACGUUUAGUUCUUUAAAAGAGCUUACAACAUACAACAAUAUCAGCAGCAUUUGAACUGAAGAUGAUCCAGAAAUAACAUUGCAUGUGACCUUGGAGUAGAAAGGAUUUUUUCCCUCCUACAGAUUCGUCUGACAUGAUUUGUGCCAAUCCAACACUGUGAAUUUCUGGAGAAAAUUGAUCUUGCGGAAUGUACACUAUUUGGUUUAACUAAAUGAGAAGCAAAUCUGCAUUACUGAAGUUACUGUUGUGGAUGCUUUUGUUGGGCGGAUGUACAGAAGACGACAACAGGUGGGCUUGGCGCAAAAAGGGGAGGCGCGGCAGGAGUCUUCAUUGGAUAAAUAGUGAAUCAAUUAGAUAUAUAGUUUGUUAGCUUGAGUUAGUUAGCAACAUUAGUUGGAGAUAGAGUUUGUUAGUUGAUUUAGAUCCGGGUUGUGUUUAUCUGUAAGCAUGGGCUCUAUUAAAGGGUGACGGACGUUUGGAAUUGGAAUCAAUGAAUAAAGUCUAAGUUCUAUCUAAUCUGCCGCUCAGAGCCUCUAGCAAGGGCGAGUGCGCUCCACAAUCCUAGCCAUAUCAUCUUUGGUAUCAGUCAUGGGCGAUCCUGUGACCUUGGUCGAUGUCAUGUCCAAGCUUGAUUGGAUACUUCUCGCCAUUGACCGCCACAACAGUGAAAU